rnacentral:rRNA from 1 species
AGCGAACGCUGGCGGCAGGCUUAACACAUGCAAGUCGAGCGCCCCGCAAGGGGAGCGGCAGACGGGAGAGUAACACGUGGGAACGUACCCUUUAGUUCGGAACAACCCAGGGAAACUUGGGCUAAUACCGGAUACGUCCGUAAGGAGAAAGAUUUAUCGCUAAAGGAUCGGCCCGCGUCUGAUUAGCUAGUUGGUGAGGUAACGGCUCACCAAGGCGACGAUCAGUAGCUGGUCUGAGAGGAUGAUCAGCCUCACUGGGACUGAGACACGGCCCAGACUCCUACGGGAGGCAGCAGUGGGGAAUAUUGGACAAUGGGCGCAAGCCUGAUCCAGCCAUGCCGCGUGGGUGAUGAAGGCCCUAGGGUUGUAAAGCCCUUUCGGCGGGGAAGAUAAUGACGGUACCCGCAGAAGAAGCCCCGGCUAACUUCGUGCCAGCCGCCGCCGUAA